GAUGAACGCUGGCGGCGUGCCUAAUACAUGCAAGUCGAGCGAACGGACGAGAAGCUUGCUUCUCUGAUGUUAGCGGCGGACGGGUGAGUAACACGUGGAUAACCUACCUAUAAGACUGGGAUAACUUCGGGAAACCGGAGCUAAUACCGGAUAAUAUUUUGAACCGCAUGGUUCAAAAGUGAAAGACGGUCUUGCUGUCACUUAUAGAUGGAUCCGCGCUGCAUUAGCUAGUUGGUAAGGUAACGGCUUACCAAGGCAACGAUGCAUAGCCGACCUGAGAGGGUGAUCGACCACACUGGAACUGAGACACGGUCCAGACUCCUACGGGAGGCAGCAGUAGGGAAUCUUCCGCAAUGGGCGAAAGCCUGACGGAGCAACGCCGCGUGAGUGAUGAAGGUCUUCGGAUCGUAAAACUCUGUUAUUAGGGAAGAACAUAUGUGUAAGUAACUGUGCACAUCUUGACGGUACCUAAUCAGAAAGCCACGGCUAACUACGUGCCAGCAGCCGCGGUAAUACGUAGGUGGCAAGCGUUAUCCGGAAUUAUUGGGCGUAAAGCGCGCGUAGGCGGUUUUUUAAGUCUGAUGUGAAAGCCCACGGCUCAACCGUGGAGGGUCAUUGGAAACUGGAAAACUUGAGUGCAGAAGAGGAAAGCGGAAUUCCAUGUGUAGCGGUGAAAUGCGCAGAGAUAUGGAGGAACACCAGUGGCGAAGGCGACUUUCUGGUCUGUAACUGACGCUGAUGUGCGAAAGCGUGGGGAUCAAACAGGAUUAGAUACCCUGGUAGUCCACGCCGUAAACGAUGAGUGCUAAGUGUUAGGGGGUUUCCGCCCCUUAGUGCUGCAGCUAACGCAUUAAGCACUCCGCCUGGGGAGUACGACCGCAAGGUUGAAACUCAAAGGAAUUGACGGGGACCCGCACAAGCGGUGGAGCAUGUGGUUUAAUUCGAAGCAACGCGAAGAACCUUACCAAAUCUUGACAUCCUUUGACAACUCUAGAGAUAGAGCCUUCCCCUUCGGGGGGGCAAAGUGACAGGUGGUGCAUGGUUGUCGUCAGCUCGUGUCGUGAGAUGUUGGGUUAAGUCCCGCAACGAGCGCAACCCUUAAGCUUAGUUGCCAUCAUUAAGUUGGGCACUCUAAGUUGACUGCCGGUGACAAACCGGAGGAAGGUGGGGAUGACGUCAAAUCAUCAUGCCCCUUAUGAUUUGGGCUACACACGUGCUACAAUGGACAAUACAAAGGGCAGCGAAACCGCGAGGUCAAGCAAAUCCCAUAAAGUUGUUCUCAGUUCGGAUUGUAGUCUGCAACUCGACUACAUGAAGCUGGAAUCGCUAGUAAUCGUAGAUCAGCAUGCUACGGUGAAUACGUUCCCGGGUCU
rnacentral:rRNA from 1 species